UACAGAGGGGGCAAGCGUUGUUCGGAAUUACUGGGCGUAAAGGGCGCGUAGGUGGCCUUCUAAGUUGAACGUGAAAUCCCUGGGCUCAACCCAGGAACUGCGUCCAAGACUGGGAGGCUUGAAUCCGGGAGAGGGAUGCGGAAUUCCAGGUGUAGCGGUGAAAUGCGUAGAUAUCUGGAGGAACACCGGUGGCGAAGGCGGCACCCUGGACCGGUAUUGACACUGAGGCGCGAAAGCCAGGGGAGCAAACGGG
rnacentral:rRNA from 1 species